UAUGUACUCCCUCUGAUCCUAAAUUGUUGUCGAAAUAUUACAUGUAUCUAGAUAUUUUUUAAGAAUAGAUACAUCCAUAUUUGGGCAAAUUUGAAUCAAGAAUUUAGGAUCUGAGGGAGUAUGUU
rnacentral:pre_miRNA from 1 species